AUAGAAAGUUUGAAAUAACCACUCUAGUGUGCAAUUCCAUUUCUCUUUUGUAUCACACAAGUGGAAGGCUGAACAACUAAUCAACUUAAUCGUAAAAGUUAUCAGACGCCCUAUCCUUGUAUUAGUUAUGGAUAUCUGAAUGGACUCAUGAUUACAAGAUUACGAGCGUCCUUUCAUCCAUUUGAUAUACUAGUUGUCAAAA